CACAGCUGUAUCCAGACUGCGUUGCAUCAAGCUUAAGAACAGCCCUUAGCCGUGGUAUAUUGUCCAUAUACCAUACCCCCUCGUGCCUUAUUGCUUAAUCAUAGCAGUCGAACGAGUUAAAUCUACAUCCUUUGAUGGAAAAUGAUCUGGCGAGUUUAAUAAGGGCGAAUUAUCUUUUCUCUUGCAACAUAUUGAAAUGUGUUUAUUACUUCAUGUCAUAGUUUGCAAUAAUUAGGUGGCAGCAUGCACUUUUAACGUUGGUUUGCGGACCAUAGAAGAAGAACCACCAUUAUAUCAUAAAAGAAGAAGAUUUGAGAAAUUGGCUAACCAACUAACUAGCUAAUCAACUAUCAUUUAAAUUUUGAAUUGUUCUCAGGAGACAGGUCAGUGUGUGUAGAGAGAACACAUUUGACCAGGUGGAGUCAGGCUUCUACUUCAUCGCCCUGGACCACUACACCAACGAGGAAGAGGACCUCAAGUUUGGACCAGUGAGUCACCAACCCAUCUUAUACCUAACACAACUCAGCACAUAAAAUGAUGCUGAUGACCCAGUGUAAAAACCUGGAGAUGUUCACUGGUUCUGAGGGAGGUGACGUGGACACCAACAGUGUCUGGGGUACCUUCCAACGCUACCUCUGUCUGGACAACAGCCAGAGGGUGGUCAAGACAUCUGCCGCAUCUUUAGUGUGUCAGCUUUGCUGCACCUGGGAACUAAAGGUUACAGCACCACAGUCCCAACAGUAUGCAGCACCUGGGAACUAAAGGUUACAGCACCACAGUCCCAACAGUAUGC
rnacentral:lncRNA from 1 species